UUUUCAACCUUGGUGACUGAUUGUGUUGAGAAAGUCCCUAUGAAGCCUUGGAAUUUUCGAAAAGCCCACCAAAACUCGAUAUUUUGCUCAAAACUUGCCGGAAACUUGCGCAUCCGAUAUUUUGCUCAAAGAAUUGCUAGCAAAUUUGGGCUAUGACUAGCAAGUAGAGAGACAAGUAUGUGUGUGUGUGUGUUGUUGUUGUUGUUGUUGUUGUUGUUGUUGUUGUUGUUGUUGUUGUUGUUGUUGUUGUUGUGUUUAUUUCAAUUCGCAAACCAAACGGGCAGAUCUGCCCAAUGAAAAGGUGGCGAAUGCAGAUAGAAAGCAGUAAUAAAUAAAAUUGGGGACUGAUGUAAUUAGGAUAGAGGUGGAGAAAAACUAAGCCAGCUGAUCAUCAAACAGGACGUUUGGUACUCUAGGUACUAAGGGUGUGCGGGAUCAUGCUGGCGCGGAACUGGCGGAGCGUGGAGAUGGCACGUAUGUCACUGGGUAAGGUGUUCCACAGCUGGGCGCCCCGGAACGCGAGGCAACCCUUGCCGAACCUGGUGGAAGCUGGCGGUUGGCGCAGACCCAUGGUGGAGUGCAACCUAGUUGGGCCAGCUGGCGAAGGGACUAGGAGGGCUUGCAGAUCAGAACUUGCGUGCCCAUUCCGAGACCUCCAGACGAGAACGAUGAACUUCUGCCUGAAUAUCUCGGAUACUCUGUAGGUGUCCAAUUGCAGCAGGAGGGUACGCGCGGAGGUGUGAUGCGAGAGUCCGAAAACCGCCCUUGCCGCCCGAUUCUGCAUGACUUGUAGCCGAUCCAAUUGGUUGGCAGUAAGAAGCGGGGAAAACGCAUUGGAUCCGUACAUCAGGUCAGACAUGAUGAUAGCUUUAAAGUAGAGAACUCGGCUCUGAUGAGUCAAGCAGCGACGCAACCUCCAUAGUGCUCCGAUCCUCUGGGCCAGUCGAGCGGUGCAGCGAUCAACAUGGGGCGUCCAUGACAGAUCCGAGUCGAGGAGCACUCCAAGAUACCUGGCCGCAGUAACGACAGGAAUCGGCGUUUCAUGACAGUUUACAUUGAUCGUAUGCUGGGGCUGCUGAGGCAGCCUGUUGGGGUAUACAGGGAUCACGUGGCUCUUGGCUGCAUUCAAAAUGAGACCACGGGUCUGCAACCAGUCAGCAAGUGCAGAAACCGAGGCCGAUAGCGUAGCAGAUACCGUGUCCAGGGAUGUGCUGCUGCUGAUCAGCGCGAUGUCAUCGGCAAAUUGAACUGAUGAAGACUGGUUAGCUAUGGUUGGAACUUCGCGGGUGUAGAUACUGAAAAGGAUCGGUCCAAGAACAGAACCUUGUGGCACGCCACAGGAUGGUGCAGAAAUGGCACUCUGAUCCCGUCCAAUACAGAUACGCUGAGUACGGCCCGACAGAUAGGCGGAAAACCACUUUAGGGCUGUCCCUGUUAUGCCGAUAUCGAAUAGGUCCUGGAGUAACCGUUCAUGACGAACCUUGUCGAAUGCCUUUGACAUAUCUAGAAGGCAUAUGCCAGUACACAAACGCUUGUCCCGUGCAAUAAGAAUACGAUUUAGCAUAAGUACCAGGGCAUCCUCCGUUGAGUGGCCUGCGCGGAAUGCAAACUGAGUCGUGGGGAGGGUACCAGAUAUGUCCAGAAACUGGGCUAGCUUCUUUUGUACGACUUUCUCCAAGAGUUUUGAUGGUAUGGGAAGUAGGGACACUGGACGGAAGUUAGUGGGAAUAGACGGGUCCCCAGCUUUGAACAGCGGGAUAACGUGUGCGAGUUUGAAGGCUGUGGGGACAGUGCCAUUGACAAGCGAGGCAUUAAACAACGUGGCCACGGACGCAGCUAGAAUAUCGGCACAGCACUUCAGAAGGUGACCAGGUAUCCCGUCGCUUCCUGUUGCUUUGGCAGGAUUGAUUUGUCGGAGAAGCCGUUCUCCUUCGCCAAAAGACACUUGCGGUAAUUCUGACAUUGCAGUCUGAGGCUGUGGACCUUGCGGUAGCGGGAUGCUGUGAGGACGGGCCUUGUCUGUUACUACUGCCUGGAAGACUGACGAAACUUCUUCAAUGGGGCAAGUAGGCUCCACACGUACUCUCUUCCUGUUCGUAACGGAGUUUAUGACGUUCCAGAGCUUACGCGGGUUCUGACUGGACGCGGCACAUUGCGCUCGGAAGAAAUCGUUGCGCUUUCGGCGAUAGGCAUUUCUGGCGCUUGAGCGUGCUUGCUUGAACUGUACGUGAAGAUUCUGGUUUCCCUUAUCGCGUAGCCACCGUCGAUGUAGCUGGUUUUUACGUUGGUUGAGCUUGUGGAGCUCUCUGUCGGACCAGGGCGGAUGGGAUUUGCGGUUGGAGGAUACAUAGCGGAUGGGUGCAUGCUUGUCCACGACAGCCAAGAACUUGGUGUGCCACGAUGCCCACAUGGUGUCCACAUCCCGCGUGUUAGUAAAAUCAUCCAGCCCUGCGGAGCUGACAUCCCGACGGAAUUCGCAGAGGUUCACCGACCGAGUAUUUCUCUGAGCUCGGACCCGCUCUACUUCCUGCGGUGACACGCUGCAUGCGAGAAACCUGAAGGUGCAGGUUAGCCUCAAUCCCAAAGUGGUCGCUAAUGGUCAAAGGCAGGACGUGGCACUCACUGAUGUCUUGACUAGCUGAAAGAAUGAGAUCAAUAGUUGUACCAGAUGGGCACGCCGGUGAGAUACGAGUCGGAGCAUGAACGUGAUUAGUGAGGCCGUAGCAGUUGCAAAGUUCGAGAAAUUUCCGGGCGAUAGGACAAGGUGGGUAGGGGGUUGAAACAUUAACGUUAAAAUCGCCAAUGACUGUGAUGCUUGGGUUGUCCACAAAAGCCCUGUGCAGCUGCUCUUCAAAAUUCUGCCAGUACAAGAUGGGCUCGUCAGGUGGCCGGUAAAAGCACCCAACUAGUUGUCGCCUUCGUCGCCCUUUGACUUCGACCCAGGACGAUUCAAUGUUAGCGUCGGAAAGCUCUGGGCGCGGUUUUACCUAGAGUCCGGAACGAAAAUAAAAGCAUACACCGCCACCUCUGCGCACUGGACGAUCGUGCCGUAUCACACAGUAACCUGGUAUAUCAAUAUCACGUGUGUGUGUGUGUGUGUGUGUGUGUGUGUGUGUGUGUGUGUGUGUGUGUGUGUGUGCGUGGUGUGUGUGUGUGUCACUGUGUGGGUGUGAUGGGUGACCUUGAGUGCGGUGAAAAGAUCACUUCUCAUCUGAAUGGACGUGUGGCUCUUUCUCUCUCCCACAGUCUACUGGAUAUUGUCUGAACACACACUAGUAGGCAUGUGAGAUGUGUACGGUAGAUAUCUGUAACUUGCUUAUAGAGAAUUCAAGAGAAUGCCACGUCAAAAGUAUCUAGUACUCCACGUACAGUGCUGCUCAAAGAAAUCCAGUCACGUCACUCAAGUUUGCACCUUGCAUUAUUUCCCAGCCCUGUGUUAGCAGGUCUAGGGCUGCGGAAAGUCCGGCGCGUACUCGAGUGAAGAGAAUGGAUUUCAUUGAGCAACGCUGUCGUAUCCAAUAUAAAUACGGAGUGAAUUGUCAGAUUGUCAGAGUGUUUUGUCGAUAGAAGCGCUCUGGCAUAGGAUUCAGUUUAGGCCCACCAGAACAUACUACAGUGUAGCAUGAUGUAACGCAGUGGGUGGUGGUCGCACUACUAGUAGCAUGAAACCAAGAAAGUAGAUCAGCUAUUGUGGAUCACGUAGGAGAGUAUGAAUGAAUGUGAGUUUCCCUACUGUAUGCCACAUGUAGACCAGGUACAUAGUCGCAUUUGUAUUCCACUGGUUUGGGCAGUGGAGAUUUCUGUGCCCUUGCACAUGGCUUGGUUGAUCACAGUAUGACCGUGUUUGGGGUCAGCAGAUCAUGUCGUGAUCUCGACCGGCCGUGCAUUGCAUAGGCCACUGUACUGAUCACUUAGUUGAUUCCAAAUUUGCACUUUGUUUCGGGUCUGUAGAGUAUUGUGUGGUGUCUCUGGUCUAGUCCCCAGUAUAUCUACUCACCAGUGCUACGCACAGAUACAGAUGCUAUGCAGCAAUGACUCUGAUGUCUGAGCUCAUGAGACUUCGCUAGAGUCCUUGUUGUAUCAAAAUCGACGUUUAUCUAUGACGUAACAAUUAGGGCCUGUCCAGACUAGGUAGAAAACCACGUAAACACGCCGUAAACAUGCUUGUUGCCAAGGUGAGUGACGAAAAAUGGCCGAUAACGGGGAACGUGGGAUUCACGCGGAACGUGAGUCGAGGACCCCUGUACAAAGAACGUUUCUCAUCUACGUGCCGUUUUCGCAGUGUUUGUUGUGUGAGAGUCGAUCGGUGGAGUUUUCGGAUCGCACUUUUUCUUGCUGUUUCCAGCUGCUGCAUUGUUUUUGCUUUGCCGUUUUCAUAAUGCCACACGUCCGUUUCAGCUACGACUCUGAGGCGACAUUGAUACAGUCGUGGCUGGACAUGCAGAGAAAUCCCGGGGUCUGGUGAAGAGGAAGGUGUUGUAGAGAGAGAGAGAGAUAAUUCACUGACGAGAGAGCAUUUGAAACUGUUUGGAUAGGAAGUAGAACCCUGUUUAGUUGUGAUGAACGAAAUUGACGGCCUGAAGGCCAAAGCCAGGGACUUUUACUGGAAAUACACGGCGGCCACAACCAUUAGUUCAUCAAGCGAUGCUAUAGCGGGCCCCGACCGUGACGCUGCGCUGCCGCGAGAGUGUGGCCAAAUUUCCGUACCUGGAACAGAGUUCAGGGUGAUGUUCCUUGCGCUCGGCGUCAGUACUGCCAUCGCAGGGCCGCCACUCGUUUUUGUAGCUAGCUGGAAGACCAAGCCAGGGAGUGCUUGCCUGGUCUACACGCGACAACUACAAGUCACUUGUGUGUCUUCCAGUGGCAGUAGUGCAUCCAAGGACAAAAAUGAACAGGUACACGUAGUGGUACAGGUGACAGAGCGAAGUGUGGACAGCGCACCGCGUGUACGUCACGUACUCUGAAACGGCACGCCGUUUUUAUUACCUAGUGUGGACAGGCCCUUACACGUGUGUACGUAGAUCUACGUAGGCUAGGCUGUGUACCUAGCGAACACUGCACUAGAAAGAGUCAGUACCGAUUACAGUCAUCCACAGUAAUGGGGCUGUUAAGUGUGACGUCACGGCCCCUUCGAUACGCAUAGCAACGGAGAGCACUGGGGACAAACAAAAGUCGCGUCCUCUGGAUGGAACCAGUUGUGAAGGGCAACAGCAUCUAAAUGACUGGAGAGAGAGCAGUUUUUCUUUGCUUUUUCGUCAAGCGAUUGUUGUCGCUCUUUACUCCUUGUUCUUUCCUCUACAAAUCUCCUGUAGUCGUCGAGGGCCUUCAUAAUGGCUGUGAAAUUGGCUGCCCACUGUAAAACUCCGUGUUUGAGAGUGCUUUGAAGAUUCUUCGCCUCCUGAUGGAUCAAAGUACGAGCGCUCCCUGUGGAUUCGAUUAUAUGUAGGAAGUGACUGUCUGGUGUAUCUGCACCAGAUCCUGGGGAAAUGAAGUCAGAUGCAGAGGCAGGGUCGUCCAGUGAUGCAACACUGCCGUUCUAUGUGCAACGGCACCGCUAAUUCCCCCAGCGAAAACACAAACACGUGAAGAGACUACAGUAUUGACCGUUCUGGUAAUGAAUCGUGACUGCUCGGACAGUCGAUAAUCGAAACACAGAGCACCAGCAUGAUGUUUUCAUAUUGGGAACCACACACCAGCUCAAUUCUCAAGCCCAAAAAUUGAUUAAUACAAAACACAGAGCGACGCAACAAGAGAUCAUCCGGCAACCAAACCAACCUGGGUCCGAUGCACUGAAUAGUCCUGAAAUACGCAGGCCACACAAAGCAGUGCAAGCACAGACUGUUACAAGGUACAUGCAUUGCAGAACAAAGUGUAACCAAAGAUAUACAGGGUUAUAGCUGCACACUCGUGCAUGUGCUCGCUCAGCCCAAGAACACGCAGGAUGAUAGAAAUAAUCCGGGGGAAACACGCUAAUGUCAUGACCGGGGAGUGGGCCAGACAUACUCUCAGGAUUCUACAAUUCCAGGUUCUUUACGGAAAUAUACCAGAAGUCCAGAUACCCAUUCCUCACCCUCACCACACAAGAAGACCAAAGCUUCACUCUAGGACCAAGCUCAAACAACAGAGAAGCAACAACAACAACAACAACCAGCGAUCGAUGCAAAGCAUCAAGCUAUAUACCACAAGACCUAGUAGCGUGCACGGCGCGGAGCGAGCGAGUAGCCAGCAAAGCAAGAAUAGUGAUAGGUUUCACAACACUAUUGAUCGACAAGACACAUCGCCGCCACGGCAAACACUUCAUAAAGACACAUGUAUAAGCAGACGGAAUACAAUACAGAUAAUGACAUUGUAGCAACACACGGACACGACACUAGCACCGAAGUAAGCAUCAAGACGUAAAUAGUGCAGCUCUGAAAAAGUAAAAACUACAUUGACAUGUACAUUGGUGUGCCGAGUAGUAUCAUCCUUGAUCACCCAUCCAACCAAGACGUUAUCAGGUCCCAGACGCCGAGAUCCCACGCCGAAUGUGAAGUGCAUCUAGCCUUGAACCUGUUGCACAAGGCACACACAUUAUGACAAAAAAUGACAUCCACUCCGAUUAUUUCCAGAGGCCAAUCAUAACAGAACACAGAAAUGAAACCACGGGCUCAACAAAGUAAACGCAAAGGAAAUUAGUUAAAAUAAUCCAUGAAGUGCUAUUUUAAUUCCAGCGCUGACUGCAGUGUGGCGUCAUGGCCCGAUACCCGCUGAGCAUAGACACAAACUCCAUUUGACAGGGGCACGACAUACUAUUUUCAGUAUUUUGGAAUAAAGUCUGACAGGGGCGUAGCACCCGCUACGACUGGUACGACCAUGGCCGCACCAUUUUCGAAAAGUGUGGUCCGUCUGGAACGUGCAAAACCGUAAUAAAAAAUCAGGAUCCAUCGAUAUUUGCAUAUGCGCAUCAGACCUUUUUCUAGACUCGUACUUGUAGAUCUGUUAUGCAUCUGCAGUCGUACUGAGUACUGUACUCGACUCGACUGCACACUGCGCCAGAAGUUCCCAGAACGCAGGAUUUUGGGUCUUUUACAAAAUUUUCCCGGAGGGGGGGGGGGCGGACCCCCUCCAACACGGCCGUCCGCCACACCGACCUUCGGUCGUACCACUUCCAAAACCCCUCCUACGCCCGAGUCAUAAAGUACAGCACUCCAAUGACAUGACGGACACCUCGUGCAAAUGCGUGGUCUGUUCAUCCGGCCAACUUGGCCACACAUGAGAGUGUGUGCAUGUACGCGCGCACGCAAGCGCGCACGUGCACACACACCAUGUAUUCGGUGCGUAUGGCGUACCUGUUGCGGAGAUAAUGAAGAUGGAAUCAUUAUCAUGAUGUUACAUGUACAUGUACAGUGUAUGUUUGAGUGUAAAGUAAAUUUUAUUUUAUUACACAUUUCUUCCACACAACUUUCUCCACAUCUUCGCAUUUCUCAUAAUCCAUCCAUCUACACUCCGUCUCAGUUGAGGAAAAUUCUCCCAGGUAUACACUAGUCACCACAGAGAUGUGAUGACAUUGGGAUGGGCCCCAAGCACGACUGCACUCUCCAGUUACAAUUAUAAUUUAUUUGUCCAGAUUAUCUGUGAAGACAAAAUGCAAUGCAUAGCGGCAAUCGAUGGAUGAAGAGAGAGUUUGUAAAUACACAUAUCUUUCCACUUGUUCAGGAGCUUACCUUUUGGAGUUCACAUCGUUUACACGAUCUCUUAUGCUGUCUUGCACCUUGGCUUUGUUGACCAUGGAUACGCCAUCCCAGAAGACAUUCUACAGGAGCUACUAAUGCAGAGCGUUUUUCACGCUCGAUCUACCUCGUCACGCCAAUAAAAUCCUCCGUGACACUGGCUACAGUCACAAGAGACGUCUCAGUAAGGUAAUGAGCACGACAACACCGUCGAGAUCAAGGACAAAGAGAAAACAAAACACUCACUGAAAACAGCAAAGAAGAAACGAAGAAAUGUACACGAUUCCUAUAUGUUGCCACUGACAACUGGUUCGGUGGAGACGACGCUACUUUUG